rnacentral:lncRNA from 1 species
GAGUACAUGGAAGAAGAACCUUUUAUCCAGGAGACUGAAAAGGGUCAAGGAACGUUGUGUCUCCAACAAGAACUAUUUGAAGAAAUGAGACAUUUGACUCCAGCGUUAACAUACUCAGCUGAAAACAGGAUCUCUACAGUUUUCUUUCAGAUUCAUCGUUCUACAAAGCCAAAAUAAGAUAUUAAGGCUGAAGAAAUAAAAACUGAAAUUAGCAUUGGGAAUCACAAUAUACUGAUGACUCUCAUUUCCUCAUAUGCUCUCAAAGCCCCAGUGUAAUGGAACACUUGUGUCAGGUUUCUAUUUCAGUAACCAUAAUCACUAAUAACUAAGGGAACACAAAAGUCCAUCAAUGAGAAGUCAUCUCUUAACUGUGGAAGGCCAGCAGUUAAUAUACUGGACCACAAAAUGAAAUCAAGUGAUGCAAGUUCUUCCCUCAAUCUAAGAACCUGCAGAAUACCAAGACAAGUGUUUCAAGAAUCAUCCAGAAAGGUCAGUUUUAAACUAUAUGUUUAAAGCAGAAACAUUACUUGGCAUGGGGCUUUCUAGGUAAAAAAGGAAGACAUAAUAUAAUUGGCUUAGAUCCUAAGAGUUUUUCUUCUCUUUAUUUGCAAGAUAAGUUGAUUAACUUCAAUUAUUAAUAGCCAAAACUUGUGCCUCCUAAUUAGAUCUAUACUCUAGUGAGAUAUAAUCUCAUAAUUAAGCACCCAAAGUUUUUGUUGUUAAAAAAAAUUAUCAGCCAAUAAUAAAACUUUUAAUGACUGUAGCAAGUUGACACUUUCUGGUUUUCUAUCCAACUAUGCAGUAUAGUCUUGUUUUUGGUACCACCAUUGUAAUUUACUGAGGAAUAAACAAGACAAGACAGAGAAGCACACAGCGCUUGCUAGAUACUCUUAAAGUAUAUGAUACUUAAAAUAGCAUCCUUUCCUGGAUAUGAAGUUUUAUUCACAUUUGAAAAUAUAUUCUUAAGUUCUAAACUCUUCACUUUAAAAAGUGAGGGUAAGUAGAAUUAUUUUCAUUUUCCUUGAAAUAAUUUGAUCACAUCUAAGACAACAAAAAGAACCUAUUUAAAAAUACUGUUUUAAUAAGGUGACAGGUGAUGGUCCUCUGGCCAGGUAUUUAUUUAGAAACCACCACUUACAAGUCAAACUGGUAUUCCAAAGGGAGUAGUUAAAAACAAAAACAAGAAACAUACAACUAAUACAAUUUCUCUUACUCUUCACUUUUCUUUUUAUUAUUCAAAAGUCAAAUGUUUUUAAAUCAUCCAUCCUCAAU